UACGAAGGGGGCUAGCGUUGUUCGGAAUUACUGGGCGUAAAGCGCGCGUAGGCGGUGAUCUUUGUCAGAGGUGAAAGCCUGGGGCUCAACUCCAGAAUUGCCUUUGAAACGGGAUCGCUUGAGUCCGAGAGAGGAUGGCGGAAUUCCUAGUGUAGAGGUGAAAUUCGUAGAUAUUAGGAAGAACACCGGUGGCGAAGGCGGCCAUCUGGCUCGGGUACUGACG
rnacentral:rRNA from 1 species